GGGUCGAUGCCCGAGUGGUCAAUGGGGACGGACUGUAAAUUCGUUGGCAAUAUGUCUACGCUGGUUCAAAUCCAGCUCGGCCCAA
rnacentral:tRNA from 1 species